ACUGAACGCUGGCGGCAGGCCUAACACAUGCAAGCCGAACGAGUGGCGGACGGGUGACUAACGUCUGGGAAACUGCCCGAUGGAGGGGGAUAACUACUGGAAACGGCAGCUAAUACCGCAUACCAUCGGAUGUGCCCAGAUGGGAUUAGCUAGCUGGUGGGGUAACGACUCACCUUGGCGGCGAUCCCUAGCUGGUCUGAGCGGCUGACCGACCACACUGGGACUGAUGCACGGUCCAGACUCCUACGGGAGGCAGCAUUGGGGAAUAUUGCACAAUGGGAGCAAGCCUGAUGCAGCCAUGCCACGUGUAUGAAGAAGGCCUUCGGGUUGUAGAGUACUUUCAGCGAGGAGGCAUUACUCGCAGCGGAGGCACCGGCUAACUCCGUGCCAGCAGCCGCGGUAAUUC
rnacentral:rRNA from 1 species